rnacentral:rRNA from 1 species
UGGGGAAUUUUGGACAAUGGGCGCAAGCCUGAACCAGCAAUGCCGCGUGCAGGAUGAAGGCCUUCGGGUUGUAAACUGCUUUUGUACGGAACGAAAAAGCUCUCUCUAAUACAGGGGGUGAAUGACGGUACCGUAAGAAUAAGCCCCGGCUAACUACGUGCCAGCAGCCGCGGUAAUACGUCGGGUGCGAGCGUUAAUCGGAAUUACUGGGCGUAACGCGUGCGCAGGCGGUCUUGUAAGACAGAGGUGAAAUCCCCGGGCUCAACCUGGGAACUGCCUUUGUGACUGCAAGGCUGGAGUGCGGCAGAGGGGGGUGGAAUUCCGCGUGUAGCAGUGAAAUGCGUAGAGAUGUGGAGGAACACCGAUGGCGAAGGCAGCCCACUGGGCCUGUACUGACGCUCAUGCACGAAAGCGUGGGGAGCAAACA